CAAGGACAACCAUAACUGACGUCGAUUGGUCAGUUCCUCCCCGUUGAGGAACCGCCACUUGAUGGACUGAUAAAACAGCCUACCAAAAGAGUGCAUGAGCCGCAGUGGUUGCCAAUUGGUUGCGAUGCCGGCUUGGCUGCUUAAAUUUGUUCUCCAGGCCUUAGAACCAGUAUACUAUUCCCGCGGAGGUUCAGGUUGUUGGGGCUGGAUGGAGUGCUGGUGUCCUUUUCAGUUGAUGAGACAUCUGGAAAGGCCUUUACACUGUGCGAAGCACAAGAAGGCUCAGAGGUAAAGCCGCUGGAAACCGGCACCCAGCAAGACCCUGAAGCCCUGGAAACUGCGCGAGAAUGGAAGACCCUGCCUGAAACCCACAUUCCUGGAAUACAACAGCAAGGCUUCCCUGUCACCGGGAACUCAGGUGGUCACAGGGCAUCGUUGAGGCUGCUAGCUCUGAGUUCCCACCUUCAGGUGCAUAGGAUGUCUGUUCCUGGAUUCACGUGGCAGGGUCCCAGGGCACCCUGAGGACCCAGCCGGAGAAAAAGCAGGUCAGCUGCAGCCCAGCCCCCCUCGCAGGACUAGGUGGGAAAGCCAUUCCUUCCACCAGCCCCGACAGCCUGGAGUGUCAUAACCCAGGUCCAGGAUGGUGACUACAGAAAAGCUGGGUGCGAGACCCCUCAGUCCCAUCCACACCCAGAUGGCAUCCCAGCAAUCAAGUGCCCACAAGCGUGCCUGCCCAGUUUCAGGCUGUUUCAAUAUACUCAACUUUCCUGCUCUCUGCAGGCUUUCUCAUAUAUUUUUUUUUGCUUUUAAAUUUGACUCUGACGACACCUCUGCUCUGGGGACUGACUUCACUCUUGAAAAGGAUGACUCACUGUGAUCUAGGGCAGCUCAGGGGAUUCCCAUGUGCGUACUUCCUGCCAAAAAGAAAGCAAAAGUCACACACACCCUGCAGCCUGGGAGGCAGGAAAGGAGCAAGAAAUGUCCCUGGGCAGACCCAGGAGGGGCCACCACACCUCCCACUUCCUGAAGGAUGGGGUCUCUGCCCCCAGAGGCAAAGCUGUGUCAAAUGCUUCUGCUGUGAGCUGCACAAAAGUGCUCAGGAAGCUGGAAAACACAGAGAAAGACCAAGAAGGAAGCAGCAAUGGCCCCAUCCCUCCAGCCCCACAAGCUCUGCAGCAGACCUCUCCGUUCCCCCGCACCCCUCCUCUGAGCCCCCAGGCCGCAUACGCCUUGCACAGGCCAGACGUCGCCCUCCCCACGCAGCCCGCGGCG
rnacentral:lncRNA from 1 species